GACGAACGCUGGCGGCGUGCUUAACACAUGCAAGUCGAACGGAAAGGCCCUGCUUUUGUGGGGUGCUCGAGUGGCGAACGGGUGAGUAACACGUGAGUAAUCUGCCCUUGACUUUGGGAUAACUUCAGGAAACUGGGGCUAAUACCGGAUAUGAGCUCCUGCUGCAUGGUGGGGGUUGGAAAGUUUCUGCGGUUGGGGAUGGACUCGCGGCUUAUCAGCUUGUUGGUGGGGUAGUGGCUUACCAAGGCUUUGACGGGUAGCCGGCCUGAGAGGGUGACCGGCCACAUUGGGACUGAGAUACGGCCCAGACUCCUACGGGAGGCAGCAGUGGGGAAUAUUGCACAAUGGGCGGAAGCCUGAUGCAGCAACGCCGCGUGAGGGAUGACGGCCUUCGGGUUGUAAACCGCUUUCGCCUGUGACGAAGCGUGAGUGACGGUAAUGGGUGAAGAAGCACCGGCUAACUACGUG
rnacentral:rRNA from 1 species